rnacentral:rRNA from 1 species
GGCGGACGGGCUGAGUAACGCGUGGGAAUCUACCCAGUAGAUGGGGGACAACACCGGAAACGGUAGCUAAUACCGCAUACGCCCUAUGGGGGAAAGGCUUCGGCCGCUAUUGGAUGAGCCCGCGUCAGAUUAGCUAGUUGGUAGGGUAAAGGCCUACCAAGGCAACGAUCUGUAGCUGGUCUGAGAGGACGAACAGCCACACUGGGACUGAGACACGGCCCAGACUCCUACGGGAGGCAGCAGUGGGGAAUAUUGGACAAUGGGCGAAAGCCUGAUCCAGCAAUGCCGCGUGUGUGAAGAAGGCCUGCGGGUUGUAAAGCACUUUCAGUUGGGAAGAUGAUGACGUUACCAACAGAAGAAGCACCGGCUAAAUCCGUGCCAGCAGCCGCGGUAAUACGGAUGGUGCGAGCGUUAAUCGGAAUUACUGGGCGUAAAGCGCGC